CUGCAUAUCUUAAAAUUAGGGAUUUCUCCUUAUUUAGUACGGAUGAGAUUGAAGAACAGUUGAAGUAACAAUACAGGAUACGUAUGCAUUGCUAGUUGCUACUUCGCGCCAUUUUCAGCUCAGUUGAGAGCAGCUUUGAGGGGAAAAAUGGCGGAAGGGGAAGAAGUGGAGAACAAGCAGGUGAUACUGAACCACUGCGUCAGGGGUUCUCCGAAGGAGAGCGAUAUGGAAAUCAGGACCGCCAGAAAGAAGCUGAAGCUUCCGGGAGGCUCUUCGGGCGCAAUUUUGGUGAAAAAUCUCUACUUGUCUUGUGAACCUUACACUUACGUGACAAACGGCAUGAGCAAGAUGGAAGGCAAGAUCGAAGGCGUCAACUUGGAGUCCUUCAAUCCAGGCUCUCCUAUAGUGGGAUAUGGAGUUGCUGAAGUUCUGGAUUCUAGUCAUCCAAAUUUCAAGAAAGGUGAUCUGGUUUGGGGAAUCACUACAUGGGAAGAAUACAGCAUUAUCACUUCCACAGAGGGUCUCUUUAAGAUUCAGCACACAGAUGUGCCUUUGUCCUACUAUACAGGCAUCCUGGGUAUGCCUGGCAUGACUGCUUAUGCUGGUUUUUUUGAGGUGUGCUCUCCUAAGAAGGGAGAACGUGUUUUUAUUUCAGCAGCUUGUGGAGCAGUUGGCCAACUUGUUGGGCAAUUUGCAAAGCUAUUUGGCUGCUAUGUUGUUGGAAGUGCUGGAAGCAAAGAGAAGGUUGAUUUAUUGAAGAACAAGUUGGGGUUUGACGAAGCUUUCAACUAUAAAGAAGAGGCACAUUUAAAUGCGGCUCUGGAAAGGUAUUUUCCAGAUGGUAUUGAUAUUUACUUCGACAAUGUAGGUGGAAAGAUGCUUGAUGCUGUGCUUCUAAACAUGACCGUCCACAGCCGCAUUGCUGCCUGUGGCAUGAUUUCGCAAUAUAACCUUGAGCAUCCCGAAGGAAUUCACAAUCUGCUUUGCCUACUCACCAAGCGAAUUCGAAUGGAAGGAUUUCUAGUGUUUGAUUACUACCAUCUCUAUCCUAAGUUCCUGGAAAUGAUUAUCCCACAGAUUAAAGAAGGGAAGAUUACUUAUGUGGAAGAUAUAGCUGAAGGCCUUGAGAAUGGCCCAAGUGCUCUGAUACGGCUAUUCUCAGGGCGCAACAUUGGGAAGCAGCUGGUAGCAGUUACCCCUGGAUAAUGUAUAUCAUCUGGAAUUGCCCUUUUCAAAUUUAGUGCUUUGGUUUUGUCUAGUAUGCUCAUGCAAUCUUUGGGAAGCAAAUCGUGGUUGCUGUGAAUAAUCAAUAAUGUAUAUCGAGUGGAACUCAUGGAAGAUCAGUUGGUGCUUUUCUGUGUAAAUCAACAGCAUUUUGCUUUAUAUCCACAGAGUUGACAUGGAGAAACAAUGACCUCUGUACAUGGCCCUGAAGAGUCCAGACUAAGGAGCAGUUGGUUCAUCAACUUCUCUCUAGUGAGAGAAAUUAGUAAACAACUUGUAGUAGAUAGAACUCUAGUUUCAGUUUCAAAUGCAUUGAUAAAAUGGAUCAAAGCGCUGACUGAUUUGCUAAGGGCAGCAUCUGCAGAGAACCAGGAUUGCAUGCAGGUCUUUAGGGAACCUCCAACUGAACUUAAGGAAACUCUUGGAGCGGACAUCUUAGGGGUUGCUACCCCACGUUUGGUAACCGUUUAAGAGGAUGAACCUCUCUCUUUUGUUUAAAAAAAAAAAAAAAGAACAAGUGCAAAUCUACCUUGAGCACUCCACCAUUCUCAAGUGUUGCAGCUAAAACCUGAGAGUACGAGGCAAAUGAUGAUACCAUCAAUAUAUGGGCAGGUGUAUCAAAUGCCAAUGCCAAUGCAAGGAAUUCACCCUAGGUAUUGAUUUAAGCAUCAAAGACUUGUUUGGAGACAAAAAGUCCCGUUUUUUAUUUGAAUCGAUAGGAGGUAUUUUAUGGAUACUUGCUCCUAGGUAUGUAUAUCCAUCAAAGUUAAUGCAUAUUCGAGGAAGCUCGACUUGACCAA